CCUACGGGUGGCAGCAGUGAGGAAUAUUGGUCAAUGGACGAGAGUCUGAACCAGCCAAGUAGCGUGAAGGAUGACUGCUCUAUGGGUUGUAAACUUCUUUUAUAAAGGAAUAAAACGAGGCACGUGUGCCUGUUUGCAUGUACGUUAUGAAUAAGCAUCGGCUAACUCCGUGCCAGCAGCCGCGGUAAUACGGAGGAUCCGAGCGUUAUCCGGAUUUAUUGGGUUUAAAGGGUGCGUAGAUGGUUUGUUAAGUCAGUUGUGAAAGUUUGCGGCUCAACCGUAAAAUUGCAGUUGAUACUGGCAGACUUGAGUGCGGUUGAGGUAGGCGGAAUGCGUGGUGUAGCGGUGAAAUGCUUAGAUAUCACGAAGAACCCCGAUUGCGAAGGCAGCUUACUAAGCUGUAACUGACAUUGAUGCUCGAAAGUGUGGGUAUCAAACAGGAUUAGAUACCCUAGUAGUC
rnacentral:rRNA from 1 species